AGCGAACGCUGGCGGCAGGCCUAACACAUGCAAGUCGAACGAAGUCUUCGGACUUAGUGGCGGACGGGUGAGUAACACGUGGGAACGUGCCUUUAGGUUCGGAAUAACCCAGGGAAACUUGUGCUAAUACCGAAUGUGCCCUUCGGGGGCAAGAUUUAUCGCCUUUAGAGCGGCCCGCGUCUGAUUAGCUAGUUGGUGAGGUAAAGGCUGACCAAGGCUACGAUCAGUAGCUGGUCUGAGAGGAUGACCAGCCACAUUGGGACUGAGACACGGCCCAAACGCCUACGGGAGGCAGCAGUGGGGAAUCUUGCGCAAUGGGCGAAAGCCUGACGCAGCCAUGCCGCGUGGAUGAUGAAGGUCUUAGGAUUGUAAAAUCCUUUCACCGGUGAAGAUAAUGACUGUAGCCGGAGAAGAAGCCCCGGCUAACUUCGUGCCAGCCGCCGCGGUAACAC
rnacentral:rRNA from 1 species